GACGAACGCUGGCGGCGUGCUUAACACAUGCAAGUCGAACGAUGAAGCUGGAGCUUGCUCCGGUGGAUUAGUGGCGAACGGGUGAGUAACACGUGAGCAAUCUGCCCUUGACUCUGGGAUAACUGCGGGAAACUGUAGCUAACACCGGAUACGAGGCUCGAAGGCAUCUUCGGGUCUGGAAGGAAUUUCGGUCAAGGAUGAGCUCGCGGCCUAUCAGCUUGUUGGUGAGGUAAUGGCUCACCAAGGCGACGACGGGUAGCCGGCCUGAGAGGGUGACCGGCCACACUGGGACUGAGACACGGCCCAGACUCCUACGGGAGGCAGCAGUGGGGAAUAUUGCACAAUGGGCGAAAGCCUGAUGCAGCAACGUCGCGUGAGGGAUGAAGGCCUUCGGGUUGUAAACCUCUUUUAGCAGGGAAGAAGCGAAAGUGACGGUACCUGCAGAAAAAGCACCGGCUAACUACGUGCCAGCCGCCGCCGUAA
rnacentral:rRNA from 1 species